CUGCAGGUGUCAAGUACUUUUUCCAUCUUAAACCCCGGUACCGUUCAUCAUUCGGGUCUGCUUCCAGUUUUGAAAGAAUUAACUGAGAUAUCAUUUGAUGGAGGCGUGAUUAAGAAGAUGAGUGGUGGUGCUGACAAACGAAGUAUCUGCAUCCUCAAAGGAAGUGCUGAUGUUUUGAGCAGGGACUUUAGUUUGAGCAAGACCAUGCUUCUAAAUCAGUUGCAGUUUGAAAGCGGUGAUCCAGAGACUCUUCUCCGCUAUUCUUUCUUUCAGUUUCAAGCUGACCGUGCUAUCCCUGAUCUCGAGAGCUGUUUAUCUCGAUUGCAAAAACGAUGAGAGAAAGCCACAAUCAUUCGGCACUGAGGAGCAAGACACGAAGUUCGAUGAAUUCAGAAGCUUAUAUGUUCAUAGUACUACUUUUAUUAGGACUUAAAUGUUACUGGUCUCCUUUUCUUACUGUAGUAUUUCUUUCUCAUCUACACAAACACAAAUGUUACAUGGGAUCUUUGAAUGAAAUGAAAUACACUCUAUUAUUUUGGUGAACA